rnacentral:rRNA from 1 species
CGGGUUGCGGACAGUGUCUGGUGGGUAGUUUGACUGGGGCGGUCUCCUCCUAAAGAGUAACGGAGGAGCACGAAGGUUGGCUAAUCCUGGUCGGACAUCAGGAGGUUAGUGCAAUGGCAUAAGCCAGCUUGACUGCGAGCGUGACGGCGCGAGCAGGUGCGAAAGCAGGUCAUAGUGAUCCGGUGGUUCUGAAUGGAAGGGCCAUCGCUCAACGGAUAAAAGGUACUCCGGGGAUAACAGGCUGAUACCGCCCAAGAGUUCAUAUCGACGGCGGUGUUUGGCACCUCGAUGUCGGCUCAUCACAUCCUGGGGCUGAAGUAGGUCCCAAGGGUAUGGCUGUUCGCCAUUUAAAGUGGUACGCGAGCUGGGUUUAGAACGUCGUGAGACAGUUCGGUCCCUAUCUGCCGUGGGCGCUGGAGAACUGAGGGGGGCUGCUCCUAGUACGAGAGGACCGGAGUGGACGCAUCACUGGUGUUCGGGUUGUCAUGCCAAUGGCACUGCCCGGUAGCUAAAUGCGGAAGAGAUAAGUGCUGAAAGCAUCUAAGCACGAAACUUGCCCCGAGAUGAGUUCUCCCUGACUCCUUGAGAGUCCUGAAGGAACGUUGAAGACGACGACGUUGAUAGGCCGGGUGUGUAAGCGCAGCGAUGCGUUGAGCUAACCGGUACUAAUGAACCGUGAGGCUUAACCUUACAACGCCGAAGGUGUUU